rnacentral:rRNA from 1 species
UAAGCACCGGCUAACUACGUGCCAGCAGCAGCGGUCAUACGUAGGGUGCCAGCAUUACUCGGUGUUACUGGGCGUAAAGAGUUCUGUAGGCUGAUUUGCAAGUCAGAGGUCAAAUGCUUCGGCUCAACUGAAGUUAGGCUUUUGAUACUGCAUUUCUAGAGGCAACUAGGGGGUAGCGGAACGUAUGGUGUAGCAGUGAAAUGCGUUGAUUUCAUACGAACUCAGGGAGCCAGCUACCUGGGUGAUCGACGCUGAGAGACGAAGCGUGGGGGAGCGGAAACGAUGGAUACCCGUGUAGUCCACGCCGUAAACUAUGUUCUGCUAGAUGCUCCAUUUUUGGGGUGUCAAAGUUAACGCGUUAAGCAGACCGCCUGGGAGUAUGAUCGCAAGGUUAAAACUCAAACGGAAUUGGCGGGGACCCGCACAAGCGGUGGAGCAUGCUCUUUAAUUGGCUGAUAACCCAAGAACCUUACCAGGACUUGACAUGUAAGUGGUAGUGAACCGAAAGGGGAACGACCUGCUUUUAGCAGGAGCUUACACAGGUGUUGCAUGGCUGUCGUCAGCUCGUACCGUGAGGCGUACCCUUAAGUGGGUCAACGAGCGCAACCCCUACUGUUAGUUGUAUCACUCUAACGGAACUGCCUCGGCAACGGGGAGGAAGGUGGGGACGACGUCAAGUCGGUAUUGCCCUUACGUCCUGGGCGAGAAGCAUGCUACAAUGGCCGGUACAGCGAGCAGCGAUACCGCGAGGUUGAGCUAAUCUCUUAAAACCGGUCUCAGUUCGGAUUGGAGUCUGCAAUUCGACUCCAUGAAGUUGGAAUCGCUAGUAAUCGCAGGUCAGCUAUACUGCGGUGAAUACGUUCUCGGGUCUUGCACACACUGCCCGUCACGUCAGCAAAGCUGGGGCCACCCGAAGUCUUCAUCCU